rnacentral:tRNA from 1 species
GGAGUGGCUCAGUUGGUAGAGCAGCUGAUUCGUAAUCAGCAGGUCGUGGGUUCGAGUCCCAUCUCC